UAUGAAGAAAAUGAAUUGGCUUUUUGAUCUAUUUUUUUUUUCUUGGUAGGACGAGCUUUGGAAGAACUCAGAAGCUCUUUAUACAACGAGCUUAAAACAUCAGAAGGAGCUGUUGGCAUCAUCCUCGCCAAUAAACUUGUGAUGGGAAGAGUUGGAUUCAAUUUCCCAAUCUCUCUUAGAGCAUCAUUAUCAAUCUCUCUUAGAGCAUCAUUAUCAAGCUGUCAUGGCCUUUGCUUCUGGUCUCGCCAAUACCAGCCUCAAACACAACAGUGUUGGUUUCUACCAGAUGGCUAAGAUCGCUGUUGGAAGACGACGCUGUUCACUGUCUUCUUCUUAUUGGCUCUCAUGCCUUGGCUUGACCCACAUGGUGUUUUGCUUUUCAAAUGGGAUUGGUGUAACUCUUCUGCAAUCCUCGUCUCGGCUCUUCUUAGUUUUCUUCUUCAAUGGUCUGGUGUACUCGCACUUGGGUUAGUCUUUUGGUUCGUUGCUUAGUCUUGAAGUGUACUACUUUGCUUCUGCUUCACUUUCCUGUAUUCAUCAUCUAUGAUCAGAACAGAAACCACAUUUCACAUUUCACAUUUCUCAGUACA